CUAUACCAUGUUAAUGCAUCUCCCUUCAAAGAUAAAGGGAAGACCUUCCUUUUGACAACAUCAUCGGGAAUACCUGCAAGCUUAAAUAAUCCACAAACUUCAUCCACAAAGAUAAGGUGUACAUCGGGAUGCAAUGUUCCAUCUCCUGCAAAUGUAUUAGCUAGCAGUUUCUCUAUCAUACCCAAAGGAAUCUCAAAGUAAAUAUUUUCAAAAAGUUCAGUAGGUUGAGGAGCAACUCUUUGCUCUUCUGGUCGGGGUGAAGAUACCCCGAACAAGCCCCUCAAAGGAUUAGUUUCCAUAGUGACAAGUAACAGAAAAUUUCAGCACACUAUAUAAAUGUUUCCUUACCAAGUUCCACUCACCAAAAGCGCUACACUCCCCGGCAACGGCGCCAGAAAAGAGUCUUGAUGAUCCACAAGUGUAGGGGAUCUAUCGUAGUCCUUUCGAUAAGUAAGAGUGUUGAACCCAACGAGGAGCAGAAGGAAAUGAUAAGCGGUUUUUAGUAAGGUUUUCUCUGCAAGCACUGAAAUUGUAGGUAACAGAUAGUUUUGUGAUAAGAUAAAUUGUAACGAGUAACAAGUAAAUAAAUUAAAUAAAGUGCAGCAAGGUGGCCCAAUCCUUUUUGUAGCAAAGGAUAAGCCUGGACAAUUUCUUAUAAUGAGAAAGGAGCUCCCGAGGACACAUGGGAAUUAUCGUCAGCUAGUUUUCAUCACGCUCAUAUGAUUCGCGUUCGGUACUUUGAUAAUUUGAUAUGUGGGUGGACCGGUGCUUGGGUACUGCCCUUACUUGGACAAGCAUCCCACCUAUGAUUAACCCCUAUUGCAAGCAUCCGCAACUAUAAAAGAAGUAUUAAGGUAAACCUAACCACAUCAUUAAACAUAUGGAUCCAAAUCAGCCCCUUACGAAGCAACGCAUAAACUAGGGUUUAAGCUUCUGUCACUCUAGCAACCCAUCAUCUACUUAUUACUUCCCAAUGCCUUCCUCUAGGCCCAAAUAAUGGUGAAGUGUCAUGUAGUCGACGUUCACAUAACACCACUAGAGGAAAGACAACAUACAUCUCAUCAAAAUAUCAAACGAAUACCAAAUUCACAUGACUACUAAUAGCAAGACUUCACCCAUGUCCUCAGGAACAAAUGUAACUACUCACAAAGCAUAUUCAUGUUCAUAAUCAGAGGAGUAAUAAUAUGCAUUAAGGAUCUGAACAUAUGAUCUUCCACCAAGUAAACCAAUUAGCAUCAACUACAAGGAGUAAUCAACACUACUAGCAACCCACAGGUACCAAUUUGUGGUUUGGAUACAAGAUUGGAUAUAAGAGAUGAACUGGGGUUUUGAGAGGAGAUGGUGUUGGUGAAGAUGUUGAUGGAGAUUGACCCCCUCCCGAUGAGAGGAUCGUUGGUGAUGACGAUGGUGAUGAUUUCCCCCUCCCGGAGGGAAGUGUCCCCAGCAGAACAACUCUGUUGGAGCCCUAGAUUGGUUCCGCCAAGGUUCCGCCUCAUGGCGGCGGAGUUUCGUCCCGUAAGCUUGCCCACGAUUUUUUCCAGGGUAAAAGCCUUCAUAUAGCAGAAGAUGGACAUCGAAGGGCCACCAGGGGGCCCAGGAGACAGGGGGCGCGCCCAGUAGGGGUGGGCGCGCCCCCCACCCUCCUGGCCAGAGUGUAGGACCCCUGAGGUAUUUCUUCCGCUCAAUAAUUCUUAUUAAUUCCAAAAAUAAGUUUCGUGGAGUUUCAGGAUUUUUGGAGCAAUGCAGAAUAGGUUUCCAAUGUUUUUUUUCCUUUUUCAGCCAGAAUUCCAGCUGCCGGCAUUCCCCCUCUUCAUGGUAAACCUUGUAAAGUAAAAGAGAAUAACCAUAAGUAUUGAGAUAUAAUGUGUAAUAACAGCCCAUAAUGCACUAAAUAUUGAUAUAAAUGCAUGAUGCAAAAUGGACGUAUCAGUUAUUUCUCAAUCCUAGCCCAAUAAUGAAUCCUAACUGGCCAAUGCCCUAUGGCAUACUUGGAUUGCACUCAAGAUCUAGUCCAAGUCUUUAUAACUGACCCACCAAAAUUGUAAAUAGUUUUUUAGCCUUUUAUAGAGGAAGUCAGCCUUCUAACUCCCCGGUGAGCAAGCCAUAGAUAUACUUGGUUAGCAAUCUCCAAAUCAUUAAAAAGACACUUCGUGAACAAAAGCUACACCUUGUUGUUAAUCUUGCAAUAUAAUGAGUUGGUAGGCAAAAAGACCCUUUCUUGGAAACAGAGGGUAAAUGUUAUAGUAGUUAUUAAUGGCGACCAAAAAUAUUUCCACCUCUCCUCUCUUUCAGCAUCUCUUUACUAACAAAAUCAAAGUCAUUGAAGAUCAGGGGUUGGAAUCUUUUAACCACGACCACAAAUCAGCUAUUCUCAAAUCUGGAACUACAAAAAAAACCUGGAACUUCCCCCCUUUAGUCUAUGUACCCUCACCCUAUUUCUCAACUAUUGUCUUUGUGAUCCCUUCGACCAAUAAAUUAUGAUGCCUUCUUAUGAACCCCAUUACUAGCCCUAGGUCGUAUGGCUUUGGCACUGGUUUCUAAGAAAAUAUACUCACACUCUAUUAAACAUACCAUUCUCCCCAUUUUUAUCAUUGGUUGUCCACCAACUUACUGCCAAUGUUGUGUGUUUCAACUCAACCUUCAUGGUCCUUCCAAACAAAGAUGCAACCAGGUUAGCUAACACCUUUGCCCCCACCCCCUAAAGCCUUAGCCAAACUGCUUACCAGCUGACUUAAAUGCUUUAUCCCUCUUUUCAUCCACAAGGAGGAACCAAACAAGAUGAUAAAACGACGGGAUAUCACUGAAAACUUCAUUGACGUUGCUAACCUUUUGAGUUGUUAUCACUCUAGGAAAGCACAUAUUAGGUUUGAUAAAAUUGACUUCAACAAAUCUUUCAACUCCUAUCACUGGGGCCUCCUUAACAAUUCUAUCGCACAUGAGUUUCCCACAGACCUUGUUCUUCUGGGUCCACCUAAUCUUUUGUUCGAGUGAAACUGAUGUCCUGCUCAAUGGUGUCCCCUGAAGUUGGAUCAACUAUAUGAGUGUCCCCCUUUUUCCAAUAUCUUUUCAACAUAGUUGUCAACUUGCUCAAACGCAUGGUCAUCCAUGCCCACAACAACGGCCUUUCGCGCCAGCCUAUCUACCCUAACCUCCCUCCCUCUGUCCUCCAACUUACAUUGGCAUCCAACUUAAAAUUAUUCUUCAUGACUUUGCCCUUCUGCGAGCCUUGCCACAAACUUCCACAAAAUAACUUAUGUGUCACUGCACAUCAGCCCCGGGUUGUUAUCGACAUUUCCUCUUCUAUUGGUUGUGAUUUCUCCUUCUGUUAGACUCCCUCCAUCAUUUGCACCCAUCUGCCUUCCAGCCCAACGUCCUUAACUUCCAUAGUUACCUCUCUGGUUGGGCAGCAGGCCUACUGUCUCGAGGAGCUAGACUAACUUUGUCCUCGAAUCCCUUGCCACUUACUUCAUGUCUAACACGAUUAGACGGGCUUUGCUUCAUGACUAACUUUUGAGGCACCAAGGAAACUUGCGUAGUGACUCAGUGUCUUAAUGCUUGGAAAAUAUUUGCAAACCAAAAUAAUUUGUUUUCGAGGCAUUACAAAACUUGGUGCUUCAAAAUAAUUGCUCACUUAUGAAAUUUCCCUUCAAGCUUUUACAUAUACCAGAUCUCCAUGGGCCCAUUUGUUCCACCUACGAUACUCUACCGCCAUUGCCGACAAACAAAACAACCAACUUCUAAGCCUUCAACAACUAUACUUUGUCCUCACCAACAAUGGCCUAUCCACCUUCUUCUAGGCUAACAGUUGCAUCCUGGACCAACCUUUAUACAAUGCCUUCCCUAACCUAUUCUCAUUAUACCAACACCACAAUCCUAGUCCCAGAAAUCAUGUUUGAUGGUCUGUUAUAAGGAACCACCUUAUUGGUAUUGUCUCGUUAGAAUUGGGUGUUGUUUUGUCCUUGUUGCGGGAUUUCAAAACAAAUGGAUCCAAUGACGAAAGAUUCCUCACUCAUCAGACUUCAUUUUUGUGUCAACUAUUAGAAACAUCAUUUCCAACUUACUGUCAGACUUUUAGCUACAAGGAACCUAAUUAGAGGUUGUCGCUAUGUCUUGGCGGCAAUACCUCUCCUUGCCCGCUAGCGCAUCUACAUAUCACUUGUCAACUUGUUGAUAUUUUCAGUAAUAUAAUAUAUUCAGGCGAGGAUCCAUCCUCCUCCUCCUCCUUCCCCAGUGAUUGUUCAAAAAACACAUGGCCACAAGACCCAAGGAAACCAGCUCCAGUAAAGUCAAAUUCUCAUAGUGAUGGCCAAGGUGGCAUUAGAGUUGCACAAGCUAAAUGAUUGCCAACUAAAGUCAAUAUUGAUAAUACCGCCAAACAAUUGUACAGAUAUAGUCAAUAUCUGCACAAUUACUUCCUUCCCUGAAGUAGCUUUGUGCAUUUUAUAAGAUGCUUCACCGAUCACCACGUACGCUUGCACUUUGCGCAAUAAUGGUUGGUCCUCGCCAUCGUAGCGCCGCACAGGUAGCAGAAGCAGUGCCCGCACCUGCAAAUCAGAGGGGAAAACAAUUAAAGAAUUAGCACUUGGCGCACAUGAAAAUAACUGUUGGUGUCCGGAGAAGGAGAUUCAGACCCAGUUCUUUUGCCAGAAUCUGGGAAUUCUCCCAGAAUUUGGGUAAUUCUGGGAGAAUCCCCAGAUUCUGGCAAAAGAACUGGCCUUCAGUGAAGCUGCAGUUACCUGCAGGCGAUGAAGGUGCAGCCGUCCACCCUCUCGACGUAGAUCUUGCACUUGGGGCACCUCUGCCACUUGCUCUGCUGCGCGACCUUCCUCAGCAGCAGGUCCUCCCGCCCGCGCUCGUCGUCCCCGAGCCGCUGGAACUCGGCGCACUCCACCCCCUCGUGCCACGGCACCUUGCACUUCGCGCAGAACAUCCGCUUGCAAUGGGGGCACUCCACCUUGGCCGCCGCCGCCGCCGCGUCGCCGUCACCGGGGUCGUCGUCCACCAGCAGCGCCGAACAGUCCUUGAAGGGGCAGUAGAACUUGAGCUCGCCUAGCGCCAUGUCGCAGAGCGCGGCGCCCCACCUGUGGAACAGCGGCGUCGGGAUCACGCGCCGGCACUCCUCCGGGUGCAGCACGCCGUCCUUGCAGCCCGGUUCGGGGCAGCCGAUGGCCAGCAGGUUCUCCUCGACCCUCGCGGCGAUGUACUGCCUCACGCAGCUGGCGCAGAACGCGUGCCGGCACCCGGAGAUGCGGAAGCGCUCGACGCCGGGAACCGUCUCCAUGCAGAUCGUGCAGUCGAAGCCCUUGGCGCUGUUGGAGCAUUCGCCUUUCUCGAACAGCUUCCUCUUGCCGCUGGCGAUGUCUUUGAGGAAGAUCAAGCUGCAACCAUCAUCAUCGUCUAGAUCGAUCACUUGAGGGGGGCUGUCGUCGUCCAAGUCGAUGACUUGACGCGUCUCUGGUUUCGACGGAGAUCUGCUGGAAUCGACAGGAAACAGGGGCAGCUCCGAUCCUAGUUUGCGCCUCCCCUUGCGGACUGGAAUGGACCCUUCGGAGGUCCCGGCGACGGCGGUUCCGGAGGAGGAGGGGACGGCGGCCUGGUCGCGAGAGGGGUCGAGUGAGAGGAGGAUGGCCUGCUGGAUCUGCAUCUCCUCGCGGCUGUUGGAGGAGCCAAGGACUAUCACGUCGUCGUCCUCAUCGGACGAGAUGUCGAUGGGGCAGAAGGGAGCGUCGGACUUCACGGUGGCGGUGGCGGUGGCGGUGGCGGAGGCGGAGGACGCCAUGGCCGGCGACGGGUCGUGUCCAGCCAGCGGCGGCGCUGCUCUGCUUCCCAUCCGUCGUUGGUUGUGGGCUGGGGCCGUUUCAAAUUGGAGGAGAUUGCGGGACGCGUGGACGGGUGCGAUCUACUGAUGCGAGAGAGAGAGAGAGAGAGAGAGGGGUGGGGGCUGGAUUUUGUUGGAUGUGGUUAAUCGAAAUUAGGGCUCGCAAAAAAACUCAAAUGUCGCUCUGGCUAGCUCAUCGGCUCGUAAAAGUAACGAGCCAAACACUCUCAGUUUAACAAUCUAAGAAAAGGGCGAACCAAUCUGUGGUUGAAUGGUUAUAUGGACUGUGGUAUUCCCAACCCAUCAGGGUUUAAAUCGUGAUGCCCGCAUUUAUUUUAGAAUUUCCGACGAUGCGUAUUCACUGGGAGGAGACGUUUUCGUCGACGACGAGGCGCCUACGGUGAUUUUGUAAAUCUCAAGAUGAUAUGCCGGUGAUUUCGUAAAACUCAAGAUGAUAUGCCGGUGAUUUCGUAAAACUCAAGAUGAUAUGCCGGUGAUUUCGUAAAACUCAAGAUGAUAUGCCGGCUUAGUCUUUCGGAGGCGCUCAUAGGGAUAUGGUGUGCGUGUGUGCGUUCAUAGGGGUGAGUGUAUGCGCGUGUAUAUGAGCGUUUGUGGUUCUUCUUGUAACGGUGCUCCUUUUUAUUUAUAUUUAUAGAAAAAAUAAUGGUAAAUGAUUCUAAUGGGCGACCGGUCCGAGCGCUGCCUAAGCCCCCUUGCUCAUGCGCCACGUGUCUAGUGAACCCCAUGGGGCCUCUCCUUGUUCAUUCUUGUCAUUUUUCACCAUGUGCGUGCUAUGUGUUGUUGUGAGGGAUGGGUUGUCGCUGAACUACUAUGAGCAGAGACCAACACUGUCAUCGAAGCGAUGCACGAAGUAUGGACGUUACGUGCUAUAAAGUAGGACCACCACGUCUGCGAGUCCCGGAAUCCGGACCUGCUUCUGGCGCAGUUUCCCUCGGAAGUGGAUCCUCUAACAUCCUCAAGGGAUGUCAUGAAAAGCUACAGUAAAAUGUGUGUGUAAACGAACAAGGGAUGUCAGGGUUACUGUAGCAACCACCGUGCGGAUUUACUGUAGCAUGUACAAAAAUAAAUCAAAAGAAUAAUUUUUUUGCACUAUGAUUUUGUUUGUAUGUAAUUUUUGUAAAUGUAUACAAUAGAUUUGUAAUUUGUAAAUUAAUUAUAAUCAUUUUUGGCUUAACCAUAUGGAUGUGAAGGAGAGAUGUCACGGUUAUUGUAGUUUACGUGACAUCCCUUAAGGAUGAUAGAGGAUCCGGUUCCGUUUCCCUCAUCAUUGUUUAGGUACACACUUUACAUUCUGUGAAGUCUGAACUUUGUUAUAAUCAAAGUACACUAUGUAAUUGUCCUUCUUCAGCCACUCAUGAUCCUUUCAUCGUCUGGUUGCGUGACACAAAAGGGUCGGACAUCAAGAGCCCAAUAUGCCACAAUGCUCACCAUCACGCUCUCCCCCUUGCAUUGAGAGGGGUUGUAGACUACUGUGGGCGGGCUCUAGGUCGAUGCGGGCUAGCCAUCCACUCGAUGAUACCACAAGGUCACCAACCAAUGUUGCGGUCGGGUCAAACGGUGCUACAAGCCAAGUAGAAGCGUCAAUGACGUGUUGCGACCGUCAAUGGCGGAUGUUAUGAUUAUUGACAAAGGAUGUUAUGACUAGAGACAACAAAUGUUGCGACCAGAUAGUUUUUUUCGUCCUUUUUCCUACUAAAGUUGCGAGAUCUAACGGUUUUGCGGGUAGCAAUCGAGCGGCUGGCAAGGCAUGUCUAAUGCUCUCCAAAAACAAUUUCAUUGUGAGAAUGUAUCCUUGGUACAUUCUACCCGCAAAAAUAAUAAUUAUUCUUGGUACAUUCAAUCAACUCCGACGAGUUUACGGAAUUGCUCCAUGUACAAGGCACACCCCUCGCUUCUAGUGGACUGAACUGCACUGUUGAUAGGUCUUAAUUUUGCAAACUCACAUGCGGUAAGAGAGAAACAUGACCGGUAUCUUUUAUUCCCUCUGAUCGGAAACAAAAUGUCCCGGCUUCGAACUAAGGUUUGGAAAAAAGAUGUCCCAGCUUUGAACUAAGGUUUGUUUUCCUAUCAGAGAGGGAGUAUCAUUUAAAUGGUAGAGUGAUCAUUUUUAGAGAAUUUUAAACAGUAGCUAUAUGAGACGAAAGAUACACACACGGGACUUCAAAACCUGUCUCACAUAGGAAAAAUGAUUUUGUACAACUAGUUACCAAUGCAACCCAUAUUCUCUCCUCCUUUUAUAUUUUUCUUGAAUUUCUAAAUGAUGUGAAAUAACUCAAGGUUGUUAGUAGUGCUAUAUAAUACACAUUGUAAAGCUUCAUCCAAUAAUAUAACCAUAUGUGACCCAGCCAAAAAUGGUAAGAUUCAAAUUAAUGGUGAUUAGUUAAAUAGCAUGUUCUCGCAAAAAAAGGAAGUUAAAUAGCACCGAGUAGAUGAUAUAAUUUUUUCCUCUUUUGUACAGGUCAUGAUAUUAUAUUUUGUUAUGAGUUUGCAUAUGCACAUGCACAUUAUAUAGCUUGACUCACAUCAAUGAAUUACAUUCAAAUGCCAUGCAACAUAAAUUUCUACAGAAAUCCAAAACAUGAAAACACUCUAAAACUGAUGUUUACAUAUAUCACACAGGAAAAACACAAGAAUUUUGUACUCCCUCCAUUCCAUAUUAAUUGUCGUUGAUUAAGUACGGAGGGAGUACAUAAGAAGCAGAAAACAUGAGGUCAGACCAUAUGUUUGUCCUCCUCCAAUAUUCCCAUGGAUUGUCCAAUUCCAUAGGAAUUUCAUAGUAAUCUUGAUGAGUCAGUCCACUGUUCCAAACACAAACAGCAACAUAGGAAUUUCAUAGUAAUAUUGAUGCCCAUGUGUUUAUGUAGUGAACAAACAGAUUAAAUGGAUUAUUGGUUGCAGAAUGCCGUUUCUAUUUCUAUCAGGAUGGAUGAUGGAUUUUCAGUCAUGUGCAGAGCUACUGUCUAGCAGAGAUCAAUACUAGUAAAAAGUUCCCGUCAUCGACAUACACGGUAUUUGCAUGACACGACUACAUCCAGUAGGCCUCUAAGCUAUAGAGCCUAUUAGUUACUUAUAUAAUGGGAAACUGGCCAGCUCCUUCAUCAGGAAUAAUCCCCAGAACAACACUCUAGUGAAUAGUGAUGUUUACUAAUUCACAGACCAUUCACCACGUACAUUUGCAGACCAUUCACCGAUCACCACGUACGCUUGCACUUGCUGCAACGAUGGUUGCCCUUCACCAUCGCGGAGCCGCACAGGUAGCAGAAGUGGUGGCCGCACCUGCAAACCCAAGGAAACAAGAACAUCUCGUCAUGGACAUGCAAAUAAUUGUUGGUGUACAGCAGAUCCAGCUAGUGAAAGCUAACACAGCGCGCACCUGCAGACAAUGUACACGCAGCCUUCCACCCUCUCGACGUACAUCUUGCACUUGGCGCACCUCCGCCACUUGCUCUCCUGCGCGACCUUCCUCAGCAGCAGGUCCUCCCGCCCGCGCUCGUCCUUGCCGAGCCGCUGGAACUCGGCGCAGUCCACGCCGUCGUGCCACGGCACCUUGCACUGCGCGCAGAAGAUGCGGGAGCAGUGGGGGCACUCCACGUCCCUUAUCACCGCGUCCCCGUCCUGGUGGUCGUCGACCAGCAGCGUCGAGCAGUCGUUGAAGGGGCAGUAGAACUUGAUCCCCUCGAGCGCCAUGUCACAGAGCGCGGCGCCCCACCGCUGGAACAGCGGAGUCGGGAUCACGUCCCGGCAGGCCUCCGGCUGCAGCGUGCCGUCCUUGCAGCCCGGGUCGGGGCACCUGAUGGGCAGCACGUUCUCUUCCACCUUCGCCGCAAUGUACUGCCUCACGCAGCUGACGCAGAACGCGUGCGUGCACCCGUCCACCGGGAAGCAUUCUAUGGCAGGCACUUCCUCCAUGCAGAUGGUGCAGUAGAAGUCGUUGGCAAUCGUCGUGCCGCUGGAACAUUGGCCGAGCUCUUGCAGCACGGCGUUGCACGGUUGCUUGCCUUUGUCUACCACUCUGGUCGAUGACGAGCUGCCAGCAUCACCAUCAUCGUCCGUAUUGAUCACUUGUGGUGUGUCUGGCUUCAACAGAGAAUCGCAAGAAGUAAUCGGACACUUGGGCAUCUCGGUGGCCGUACUCUCGGUUGUGUAUCUGGCAAAGCAGGUGAUGCAGAUGAUAUGAUCACAGUUUUCAGGUUUCCACGACGCUUCCAGCGAUACGAUCAUCAGCCUGCAAACUGCACACAUCAUCGUGCCGCGGCCGGAACCUUGGCCGGAUUCUUGCAGCCCAUUAUAGGGAUGUUCCUUCCCUUUGCCAUCAUCGAUCUCUUUGAUUGCGAUCAGGCUGCCAUCAUCGUCUACUUCCAUAAAUUCAUGUAUCUCUGGAUCGACAUGAUAUUCGCAAGAAGCAACCGGGCACUUUGGCAUCUCUGUGGCCACUGUCUCUGUUGUGUAUUUGGCGAAGCAGUCAAUACAGAUGACAUGAUCACAAUUCUCAGGUUUCCAUGAUGCUUCCAGUGAUACUGUCAUCAGUCUGCAAACCGCACAUGCCAUCGUCGUGGACUGAGCCGAGAGUCGGAGGACCUCUUCAAGCUGCUCAGCUUCGGCUGCAGCAAAAUCAUCAUCCAUCCUGCAGGAGCAAAUGCAGAUUCGUAGUGACAUGGUGUACAAAUGAAAAACACAUCCAACAUUGUUGUUAAGCCAGUUAUAUGCAAUAAAGAUGAAAAAUUCUUGUUACCACUACAGAUGAGGAGCAGUAGUAGCAAUCAAGUAACUCAAAUCAUCAGCCAUCCAUCAUGAUAUUCUUAAUCAAAUGAAUAUGAAAUACGUGAGAUAGAACAUUCAACAAAAGAGUAAACUCCAUCAUGGGCCGUGUAUUCGUUACGAAUGAUAAACAUAUUUAAAAAGCUUACUACAUUGCGCAGGAUUUAUAGCUGAAAUCGCAAUUUCAAUCUAGUUGAACCAGGAUUUUUGUUGUUGCUGGUUAGGCAUUGUUAAAUGUGAUGAUACCUAUAACUUUGGGUUAACCAUGCCAUUAAAAAAACCCGGAAGUGAUUGGAUUACCCAAACUCCAAAAGAAUGCCCUUCAUUCAAAUAUGCUCGCUAUAUGCAAUGUUAGAUUUGAUUCUUGAAACACAGCCGGGCAUGCAGACUAACCCCUCGCAAGCAUAUCAUCGAACAGUUGAAUGUGCACGUGAUGACUCCUACGUUGAAUAUGCCUCUACACUUGAUAAACAAGGGAUAAUGCCUAUCAUCUACAGUACUAUCUUAUAAAUUUGGGUUUGUGAUGGUGAAUUCACUGUCUCACUCUAUCCCAAUUUCGCUCCUUCAUCAAGGACCCGCGAAACACUCUUCGUUUUUUAAAGUUUACUAACUUACCAAUUUGGGUUGGUGAUAAUGGUGGCGAGUUCACUGCGCCACUCUAUCUCAAUCUUGCUCAUUCAUCUAGGACCCACUAGACACUCUUCAUUUAUUUUUAAAAGAAUCACAAGCAAAACAAUUACAAGUAAAGCAAUUGUGGAAUCUCUGACCACGAACCUACCGCUACACACAACUUGGUCAAACUAGCAAGCAACGCCACUGACACGUUUUGAAUGGGAAAAUAUUAUACAAGUACACGGCAGUACGUACUCAAGUCAACCCGAACUAGACAGUCAAUGUGACAAUCGACUUUUUCCCAGCCGCUGCUAAUCCCCAACCCCCAUUGUCCUAACUUUUAAAUUCAAAAUCCGGACAUGUCAUGCGCCAUUGGUUGAACAAGUACAUGGUUAUGGUACACUACCUUUUACGAUGUCAUGUCUUAACAAGUGUGUUGACUGUUGUGCACCACUAGUCCAACACUAUCAGUUUUGCUGCUCUGUAGCAACACAGAGGCAUUAUGAUAGUGCAUUUAGACAUACUUGACCACAUUGCACAAGAUUUUAGAGACCGCCAUCUCAGUUUGGUAUCCAGGACAUUUCUCGCUGCCAAACGGUAUGAAAUUUGGCUACACGCUGGCAUCUGUUUUGAAAUUACGGGUCAAGUCCACAGAAAUACACUACUACUCCACGGAAAACAUACAUACUGAUUUUCAACGCAACUGGGCAUGCAAUGCAGACCGACCCCUUGCAAGCAUAUCGCCGGACAUCUGGCGUGCACGCGCCGACCCCAACGAAGAACACGCCCUACACUUGACACGAUGGCUAGCGCUGACCACAUUUUGACGGUCUUUGAGUAGAGACGCUAUCGAAUCCAACAGCUUCAGUACUAACAACCGUGCAGAGCGUAGGGGUGGAUGCUACCUGUGGCCGGCGAUCAGGCGUGGGAGCUGGAAAGCACCGUCGCGUACUCCUGCAGGCUGCAGCGGUCGGGAAUCGAAUCGCCGCCGCCGGCGGCGGGAAGGCGAGCUAGCUGGCUGGCUGAGGAGCGCGUCGGCCGCGAUCGAUCGGGGAAUGCAGGCAGCUAGGGCCGGCGGCGGGAGGAGGAGGAGUGGGAGCCCAACGCGCGCGCGGUGGGUGUCGUAUCGUAUCGAGGAAGAAGCGUGCCGAUUGACGAGGAGGCGGCUUGAAGUGGACGGCCUCGCUGCCGAGGGAGGGCUAUCGGGGUCGUUCACUCGCGUCAUCGGAAGUCGAGCCGUCUCCCUGGCUGCGUUGGGCGACCGAGACCGGCGAGCCGCGACCUCGGUCGGACCCCAUUAACUCGGGCUCGACCGACCCAGUCAAAGACGCGUCUGAGUUCUGACCGAUGUCGUUUCAGGCGUCCUUCGUCAGCAAGCAACGGGCCGAGAGCCUGCCUGCUCUCUGCACUCGUCUCCGAACAAGCUCGCUAGGAAAGAUAGGAAACCAUAAAUGCAAAAUCUUCCAAAAUCUCUGUAAUGUUUUUCAAAUCUGAGGAUGCAUUGUGGAGUACAGUAGUACAAUGGUUGAUGGGAUGAUCUCCUUUGAUUUGCGGAAAGAAAUUAAUGUCGUUGGGAUAUUUUAGAGAGAGAGAGAGAGCCGGAUAAAAUUUGGAGUGUUUUGAAGACUAAACAUAUGGCGGCUCUACUAGAGUUGCUCUAAAAUCAUCAGAGAACUACCGUUGGAAGAUCGCUGUUAAACUGAAGUCUUGUAAAUGCACAAUCUUGUUUGAAACUGAAGUUUUCUGUUCGCAAAUUAUGCCUGUAAGGAGGCGGACAAUAAAUGAUUUUGUGUUCUUUUGAGUUGGAUAUAUAAUGAUUUGAUGUUGAUGCAAGCAAGUAAUGUUGCAAUCAUCUUUGGUGGGCACUGAAGUCACAGGGUCAGAAAAACUGACCGAUCUUCAGCGGAGCCCAGAGCACACGCGUUCUUGCCGCUGGAUCCGGCCGGCUCAACCCCCACCGCCGCCGUCGCGUCCGGCAUGCCCGAGCUCCCCGGCCUCGCAACCGGCGAUCCGCGCAACGGAGGAGCCGCCGCCGGCGGCGGCUCCUUGUGCGCGACGAGCUGCUGGUGCUGCUGCUGCAGAGCUGCGACGCGCCGACGUGGGUGGGACGUGCCCCCGAAGCAGCGCGAGAGGCGGCGGAGCAUGGACGGAGCGUGGCGGUUCGGUCGCGCAACAGGAGGCCCAGCUUUCCGUAACCCUUUGGGAUCUCCUCGUCUCGUAGUAUUAAACGUGGCAACGGCUCGUCCCUAGAUCUCCGUAACCCCAAGCGGUACCCGGAGAUUUGGGCGCUGAUCGAUCAAAAGGACGACGGCUCGAACCCGGACCCGGGACCCCCGCCGCCGCCGCCGGACGCCUACGCCCCGAUCGAUCGCGCCGCCGCCCGCGCGAGGGAGAGGUACUGCUAGCGCAUUCCGUGCCCGCUCGCCUCGCCCCCUCUCUCUGGCUCGCCUNNNNNNNNNNNNNNNNNNNNNNNNNNNNNNNNNNNNNNNNNNNNNNNNNNNNNNNNNNNNNNNNNNNNNNNNNNNNNNNNNNNNNNNNNNNNNNNNNNNNNNNNNNNNNNNNNNNNNNNNNNNNNNNNNNNNNNNNNNNNNNNNNNNNNNNNNNNNNNNNNNNNNNNNNNNNNNNNNNNNNNNNNNNNNNNNNNNNNNNNNNNNNNNNNNNNNNNNNNNNNNNNNNNNNNNNNNNNNNNNNNNNNAGGUAUGGGACCCGAAAAAUCCGCACGUCGUGAACCCUAAACCCUAGAAGUUUGAGCUCUGUGGGAUCGGUCGCGGUCGUUUACGGACGGAUUUUGCUUGCAUAGAAUGCCUACCUUUGUUUGGGCAUGUUGAUCGGGCAGCUUUAGUUGGGAUGAAAUUGGUUUGGGCACCCUAUUUCCUUUGCCUUGAGUUGUUUUUUUGGGGGUCAAAUUUGCAGCCCUUGUUGGUUGUAUAUAUACCAGGAAGAUUAGGAAUCUGACCCCUCAAAAGAAAAGAAAAGAUAAGAUAAUCUGAAGUUAGGACUGUUUUUCAGUGACCUCGCAGUUUCUGGAACUUCAAGAUGCAAAUCUCAGUCUGUACCCUGUAUUUGUCACCUAUGCGUUGGUAGAUGGGCAUAGGAUGAUUAGAAAGGAAAAACAUUAUGCUGUUUUGGGCUACUGCAUUGGAUGCCUUGUAUGUCUGGUGAUCCGGUCUAGAAUAAGAAAAUGAGGGUACAGGUACCUAUCGCCUAGGCCCCAGUUGUGGAGUGGGGUAGUAAGAGCAUUGGCUAUUUAAAUGAUGAAUUUUAAAAGAAUGAAACAACUUGCCCUUUUUCUCCAAUAUAUUUCUGAGAACCAUGUUUGCUCCGCCUCCGGGACAAUAUAAAUGAUACUAGUAUUGAGGAGCAAGUUGUCGUGUUCUUAAAUAAUAUCACUCUGAAAGUGAGUGCCUAUUUUGUUUUGCCUCUUUCAAUGAGUUUAAUGUCAUGAGUUGAAACUUUUUUUUAAGUGCUCUUCUUGAAUGGAAAAUUGAGUGCUCAAAAACCAGAUUUUUUACUUGCACAUUUUGAUAUUUAUAAUUGGACUGGAAUAGAAAGGUCGUGUGCUAUGUUCCCAAAAAGAGAUUAUACCCACAUAAUAGAGCCCAUGACUCCCCUGUUUGGCAACCAGAGAUAAGCACACACCACAGAGAAGUAGGCAACCCUUACAUGUUAACUCUAAAUGUUUAAAUGGUAAAUUGUGUUAUUUGGACUGGAAUUGGACAGAAAAAAUAGUGAGAAUCAGAGUGUGCUAUCCGUGCUUGCAUUUUUGCACCCACUCUGCAGAGUAUCGUGUAUGCUUGGAACUAACAGAAUCAUACAAUGAACUUUCGCAGGCUGAUCUGAGUUGGAUCAUCCUCGGCACUCAACUUCUCUUCAGCAAUGGUGUUCUGUUAUCACUGUCAGGAUGACUGCCCGUAUAUACAGGACCCUGACAACGGGAUCACGUGAGACCUUCAUUUCCUGCUCUUGCACUUUUUCUUCUAAUAAUUGCAUGCAAAAUGCCAAAACCAGUGGGUACCGCUGUUAUAACUUGGCCGUAUUUAUCUACUCCCUCCGUUCCAAAAUGAAGGCAUGCUUUGAUUUGUUAAAAGAAAGUGUUGACCAACCAUGUGACAUCAAAUUAAUAUCAUUGGACUCAUAUUAAGAAAUACUACCUCCGUCUCGGAAUAUAAGAGGUUUAGUUUAGCCUACAAAAAUGUCUUAUAUUUUGAGACGGAGGUAGUACAUACUUAUGAUUGCGAUUCUGGACGGAGGGAGUAUUAAUUUUUCUCAGUUGAUUCCUGUGAACACAGCUUAAACAUUUUUUUCAUCUUUUUCUUAUGCUCUUUGCCAUGUUGGUUGUCAGAUGUUGUGGAAUGUGCGGGAAGGUUUUUGAUGAGCACAUUUUUGAGGUUGGGCCUACUUUUGUCAAGAACUCCUCGGGACAGGUUGGUCUUGGUGCCGCGCUUUAUUUAUACUAGCAAAAGAGCCCGUGUGUUGCAACGGGGGAAAAAAAUACCACACGUCCCUAACACAAUAACCAUGACUGAAGACCCCAAUAGGACCACAUGCAUCCCAUCUGUGUUGUCUUUUACCCUCCUUCCCACCCUUGUAGACAGUGGCUUCAGUGCUCAAUUAAUCAUAAUGCGUUUGAAUUUGGUCAAUUCUAAGGUCUCUCUCCCUCUCUGCAUAAGAUGAGAAAUUUGUUUUUUUUUUCACCUGGAGGGUUUGCCAAGGUGUGCAUGCAUGGUUAUGGAUGAUUUUUUUCUUCUCCAAACUGAUUUUGCUGAGGUGUUGAUUUCCAAUCAGAAUCUAUACCGGUAUGAAAGAAAGACAGAUCAUGCGCUAUUGAUUAAGGUUGCACCCUCAAUAGUAUUUUUAAAAUGUUUAACAGGUAAAACAAUAUCAUAUUCAGAUUCUGCACAUUUUUCUACUCAAUUUCCAUAUAUAACAUGUCAAAAUUGGAGUUAGGGUUUAAAAGGUAUGGAUAUUUUUUUAAAGCAUUUGAAUCUGCCCAAAAAUAAUAGAUGGACCAUGGGUUGCUUAACCAAAAGAUCAGGGGGUUUUCUGAAAAAAGCAAAUCAUUUUUCUCCCUUAAAAUAGGACCCUGGGUGAAUUAACCAAAAGAUCAGGGGGUUUCUAAAAAAAGGGCGAAUCAUUUUCUCACACUUAAAAUAGGACUGCACGUUGAUUUCAGAAAACAGGGGGUUUUCUGCAAAAAUCAUGAUGGACGGGCAGAAGCAUUGCUCCCUUUAUUACUAGAUUAUUAUUAUUAUUAUUUAUAUUUGGUUUCUUUAUUUGGAUGUGUAACUGUUGGUUGAUUUGUUUUGAAUGUGAAUAGAGCGAAAUGGCUGGAAAAAUAAUUGAAGGCGUUGGGAGUGGCUGUUCUAUAUCCCGUGAAAGAACUGAAGCAAAAGGCAUCUCUUUCAUUGCAUUUCUUCUAUCUUAUCUCAUUAUGCACACUUAGGAUUUAUGAUGUGCUUUAUUUCACCAGGGAGAGAUGAGAUUUGGCAGAUUGUCCAUGGUUUGCAUGUGAGCGGUGGAGAUGAUAUCAUUUGCACUGCUCAUAACUUUUAUAAAGUAUGAAUCUUUGUUAUCACACAAACAUUGUCCUUCCAAAAAUGGCAGGUUAUUUUCCAAUGCUGAUAUUUAUUCAUUUAAAUGUAGCUAGCUCUUGAUAAUGACUUUACUAAGGGACGUCGAACAAGUCACGUUGCAGCCGCUUGUCUUUACAUUGCCUGCCGGUAAGCUGUCACGUAAUUACUCCCUUGCUGUAUUGAAAACAUAGUUAAAAAACAAUAGGCGUUAAUUGUGCGUUUUGCCCUCCUUGCGCUUUUCCGACCAAAGCGCACGCUUAUGCGCUAGGCGUGCUUUUUUAACUACUCCCUCUGUCCUAAAAUAAGUGUCUCAAUUUUGUACUAACUUUAGUACGUACAAAGUUGUACUAAGGUUGAGACACUUAUUUUGGGACGGAGGGAGUAUGUUGAAAGCCUUCCUAUACAUUGGGCUUAUUUCUUGUUCAAACAUGACCUUCUCCCUUUGCACUUAUGGGUGGGCCUUUUAGUAUUCUGUGUUGUAUUUGUUAGGAUAUGGCCUCUGCUGGGGUUCAUUUAUGUCUGCUUUGUUUGAUGCCAGAAUUUGGCUUGGCAAUGUUUGGGUAAGGCCAAAAAAGUUGCUACCAAAUUGCCUUGCCAACCCCGAAAAAGUUGCUAUUGCCAAAUAUUGGCUUUCAAACCAAGGAUGCCCUUAAGUUUGUAGUGAAAACCUGCAGAAGUGUGCCUUUAUAGUAAUUUUCAAAAUGCAAUAGAAUGCCAUAUUGUGCCUUGGACUUGUGAGGUUCAUCAAAGAGCAAGAAAUAAAACCAAAAUGGCAAGACUUCAAGUGUGUAAACUACAAGACUUCUAAUCUUCUCCAGAAAUAUGCAUGCAAAAUUCUGCUAGGUUCACACACUUGCUAUUUUCUUCUAAUGUUUAGGAAUCGCCAACUAUUGUUUCUAGUUUGUUACGUUACAAACUGCAAUUUCUAGGCAAGUCUCAUCUAUACUGGUUAAGUCAUUUUUUACUUUUACCAUCAUUAUCUAAGAUGCUAGGUAUCUACCCUAUCCACAUGAAACUGUUUCCAAUAGAUUCAUCAGGAAAUGCACUUUUGUAGUAUAUAUGCUUUAUAUGAUUCUAAUUAACAUUUUUUUUGUGAUAGAAAUUAGCAGUCAAAGUGGUGCCUUGUAGACUUAGGUCACGUCCAAUAGAAGGCACACUACAUGCUUAUGUUUCAGUGUUUAUUGCUGUCCUAAAAACAAUCUUUUUUCUGCUUUCUUUUGUUUUUUCCUGUCUCUGAAAUCUGUUGUCCUUUUAUGCUUGUGUUGGUGUUUCCCUGUACAUUGAUUGUCCUUUUGGUAUCAUCAAGGAAGUGCGCAUAUUUUAAAUAUUGUUUUUUCAGGCGAGGUGAAAAACCUUAUCUUCUUAUUGAUUUCUCAGACCAUUUGCAAAUAAGUGUGUAAGUACUCGCACUCUCAUGCCCUCUAUCUUGCACCCCUCACUGAAAGGGCUCAUCUUGAUUUAUGUUUCAGUUAUGUCCUAGGUGGUGUUUUUCUGCAGCUUUGCCAGGUUUUGUUACUCGGAGAACACCCAAUUGUUCAAAAGCUUGUAGAUCCUAGCCUUUUCAUCCAUCGUUUUACUGAACGUAAGUUGACAUACAUGUGCAUUUGUUAUAUAAUAAAUAUACAGAAUGCUUCUACUUACAUACUCCCUCCGUACAAGAUACUUAUUUACAUCAAGGAUUGUCAGAGCAUUCACAAUUCUUCACGUUCCUUUUCUGUUUCUGUUGUGAUAAGGUAGUUCUUUGUGGGUUAUGCCAGGAUGGUUGACCCUUACCUUUCGUUGUAUGAGAUUUCAGACAUGUUUAGAUUUCUUGAAUCCUUAUUGCGUCGGCACUCGGCAAGCAUGGAAAAAUUAGCCCAUGGGAGAACUUAAGGGAGCAAGGUUAUGAAGUCUAGAUGUUUGCUUCUUUUGCAUUGAAUACUUGAACAUAUAAAUGAGUGUUGCUUUUUCCGGGAAGUAUAAAAACUGUUUAUCAUCAAUGCUAUCAAUUUUAAACUCUUGGAAGACAACAUAUUCAAAAUAAUGUGUACAUAAAUCAUGGGAUCUAUUUUUGCGGUCAAGAUUUCUAGUUUUGCCAAGCAUAGCUUUCAUAUGGAAGGCUAGAAGGACAACUACAUUAGUUAGCAAAGAGAAUCAACAUGCUAUUAUUAUUUUUAUGAUUUUUCUCUAUUAUUGGUAACAUGUAGGUUUACUGGGAAAAAGGGACAAUGCUGUCUCGGACACAGCUUUACGCAUUGUAGCUAGCAUGAAGCGAGACUGGAUGCAGGCUAGUAUCUUUGUCAUUCUAGUUUCUUAUUUUCGUUCUUUUGUAAGCUGGUAAUAGCUUGUCUUGUCUUAGCAGACUGGGAGGAAGCCAAGUGGUUUAUGUGGUGCAGCAUUAUAUAUCGCGGCACUUUCUCACGGAUAUGAUUACACCAAGGCAGAUAUUGUAAGCCCAGAUGCUCCAGAUGGAUCUACUUUUUUUUUGCAGGGUCCAGAUGGAUCUACUUACACAAGAGUUGUAUCCAGAACGUCUUUCCUUUGUAGUUAUGUACUAGCUAUAAAGUAGUGGUGAUCUAAAACGUCUUAUAUUAGUUUACAGAGGGAGUAGUAUUUAUUGCAUAUGCAGCACUAUUGAGAGCCUAUGGUGCGUCCUAUCCAUUUGCUACUUCAUGUGCAACCAGCGAGCAUGGCACCACAAAUAAUGUAGAAAUUUCUGAAACAUAUUUUCAGCAUUGACAAUACAUGUCUUCUAAGGAAAAAAUUGUCUUUUUCUAUUUCUCAAAUGUUCCUCGAAUUUUGAGAUCUUGUUACUUGGUAGGUGCAUCUUUUGUUAAUGUUGUCAAAAUGUAUCCCAGUUUUUUGUGACGUUGUGGUGUUGGUAGCAUUGAAAGGUAGGAAGCACCAUAUGUGUGUAAUGUAGGUUCAAAUAUGAAAUGGCACUAAUUAUGUUUUAUCUUUUUCAGGCUGCUGUUGUGCAUGUCUGUGAGGCAACGCUAUCUAAGCGCUUAGUAGAGUUUGAAAAUACAGAUUCUGGUAGCUUAACGGUAUGUAUGUGCUCCCCAUGAAUAGCCAAAUGUGGGUUGACUAUUAUCAAAUGACUUGCAUCUUUCUGAAAUAUAAUCGUUCUCAUCAGUAAUUACUUACAUCCUAUAUAAACUCACUGUUUAGAAAGUACUAAGACAAGAAGUUGUCUAACCUAGGCUACAAUAAAGUAAACAUAGGCUAAUCCCUACAAAUACAGAAACAAGUAGAACAAAAACUUAGAUAUCUCUUACACUACUUCAGAACGGCACAGCACUAAUCGGCGCUUAAAUCCCUCCGCUGAUGGGUAGGGGCGCAGGGCACCUGUCAGCAACCAAACUUCGGUUAUGUGUCCAUCUAAGCACUCCACCCGUCAGUGGGACUCAGUCACCAAACUUCAGUUGUGCGUCCAUCCAAGCACUCCACCCGUCAGUAAAGGGUGAGUCCCAUUGACGGGCACUCCAAGUUUGCCCAUCGGGGUGAUUUCACCAGUGAACAUGCCUGCCCGUCAUGGUGUGUUUACCAAAAGUUUUUCAGUAUUUUUUUUAAUUUAUUAUUGCACAGAUUUCAUAUACAAUUGUAUUCCACAUACACUACAACACACAUUCCAUAUAGAUACAUGCAUUUCACAAUAGAUCACUACAACAAACAUUGCAUAUAUACUGAUUCAUCUUAAGAAACACUUCAUACAAAAGAAAAGGUGUACCCAGUGCUGAAAGCUCCCACACAAGAUGGGGUCUGGGGAAAGGAAUUUCUAGACAGCCUUGGGUUCCAUCAAUACAUAAAGCUGCUGCCUUGUGACCAUGAGGUCAUGGGUUCAAGUCCUGGAAACAGCCUCUUACAGAAAUGUAGGGAAAGGCUGCGUACUAUAGACCCAAAGUGGUCGGACCCUUCCCUGGACCCUGCACAAGCGGGAGCUACAUGCACCAGGUUGCCCUUUUUUAUCAGUACUGAUCAGACCUGCCCUUCUAAGAAACAAUUCUUAGAUAUGUUCAUCAAUACAUUUCAUUCCUUACACUGUGAUAUUCCAAAAACAUCCCUUCCAGGAGCGAAAUAAAUGAGUACAACCCCAUCAGCUUAUAGGUGUGUGUGCUUAAUCGUGGAACUUAGGAAAGAAUGUAGCAGGACAAUGAGAAGUGCUCAAGCGCAUCGAUCUCGCCGACAAAGAUAUACUUGAUUGCACCUCCCCUCCGUUGUUCCCUAAGUUCCAUAGCAAGGCAAGCACAUAUUGGAGGCUGGGUCACCCAUUUACCAUCCUGCAGGUCUUGAAAAAUCAUGCACUAAUCUACCUUCAUCUAGCUAUCCUACAGAUCAUACUGAUCUAUCUAGCUAGGUUAUCGUAUCUUUGACUUGCUCAUCAUCACUUGGUGCCUACCAAAAGAUCUUUUUUACAAGUUAUUAGUUAUUAUGAAACACGAGAAAUGCCUAACUCGAUGGCAGCCAACCACAUAUGCCUUGGCUCGAUGGCUCGGACCCACAAUAGAGCUAUGGCUCGAUGACUGGCACAACAAAGCUGAAAACAAGGACAAGGCUAGGUGAGCCAGCUCGAUUAUGGAGGGUUCGGUGGAGGCGCAUUGGAAUUCGGUGGGAACCGUCAUUGCCUUGGCCUUAUGGGUGCUGGCACCAUGGCCACCCCGCGGCGAAUUGAGAGGGAUAGACCGGAGCACCACCGGAUGCUGCAGAGGAGGGUUGAUGACACCAUGGCCACCCACUUGUUGCGGCUUGGAAAGGACAGGACUAUUGCACCGCCAUAUCCUGCGUAGUUGGUAAAGGCAAGGAUGACGGCUGUCGCCAUGCUUCCGGAUCCGGCGUAGCCGAGGAUGCGGUGGUGUGAUGGUGAAAGGGGAUGCGAGGGAAUCUGGGGGAGGGGGGAUGAUGGACCUUGGGGUUUCCCAACAAGUUUUUGUAGAGGCGAGGGGUGAGGUAUGUAGGCUGUUUUGGCCAUCAAAAUUAUACUGUAGUUUGACAAUCAAAAAAAGGUACGUGAGCUUUUUUGGGCCUUUUCAGUGACGGGUGACACCCUAGCGACUUUCAGUGGAAAUUUGCCGCCUGCUGACGAGAUGAUAUCACUGACAGGCACACAUGCUUGUCCGUCAGUGAUGAUGGGAGAAUCACUGACAGGCAGGCAUGUUGUACUCAUCAGCGAAGGCAUGCUGCCAGUAGUGUUGUCGACCAGGGUUGCUGGUCCGCAUACUGCUGACAGGCACUUUCUUCGCUCGUCAAUGGAGAUUUCACAAUGUUGCGGUGGGCAGUCAGUAUGGACGCUGCACGACCAUCAGCAAUGCACCUCAUCUAACAGGAACAGAUCGCCUGUCAGUGACCCUUUUUCUAAUAACGUUAUUUUAGUUUGUUGUGUCAUUAUUGUGUAAUGUUAGUUGAUGACCGAAAGACAUGAAAAUUUCAGGUGACUGAAAACUAGUGAGUGUUAUUUUAAUUUGUUGGCACACCAUAAUGGUAAGCGGUGCAAUAUUGUUUGAUUGUUCUAUCUGGGGAAAGUCACUCAGGCCGUCAGUUCUCAAACAUACUCAAAUUGAGUAACUAAACUAUCAUCCAGCUGCCAUUGAAUCGACGUCAUGUGUUUACUUCCUUUCAUCUUUUCAGAUAUCCAGUUUAGGUGCUAUUCCUAUUUAUCUUCUAGACCAUUUGUCAUUCCCUUUCAUUUCUGUGUGCUUCUAUCAUAUCUACUACAAACAUAUAAUUACCUGUCAUGACCUCUAUGCAGAUCACAUAGCAUGCCAACAUAAAUGGGAUGCUUUGUGAACAUACCCUCUGUUCGACACCGAUACCUGUCAAAUCCCAUAGCUGAUGAAUAUCUUUCUGUCGCCUAUCUUUCCCUGUCACAAAGGACACUUUUCUGGCACAAACCUAGUACCUAUUUGUCCUGCUGAUCAUGGGCGAAUUGAUGACACUGAUCUCCAAGGCCAUUCUGUUUACGAUAGAAUGCGAAUGCAAUUGCCCAUCAGGAUUAGAUAUUGGAGGGGCUUCAACAUUUAAAUCGUCAACUGCAUUUAUAGCUCAUACAUUAAUUUUAUGUACAAACUUUUUUUGUAAGAACUUAAUUUAUAGUAUACCAUCACUUCUGAUUUGUAUCUUCAUGCCCCCAUGGUAGAUUGAAGAUUUUUUGGCAAAGGCUGAUGAAGAGACGGUUCCAAAAUGUUCAGCCAAGUAUGGAGACGUCCUUUGUGAGCACAAGGGUGCUGAGCAUUUUUCUCAUGGACUUUGCGAGGAAUGCUACUACAAUGUAACUCACAUUUACGAUGUUUGUAAUGCCUUGGUUUUUAUGCUUCAUUCACUACUGACAUGACUUGAUUGGUCAGUUCACUGAGCUGUCAGGUGGACUGGAGGGUGGUGCUGACCCUCCAGCUUUUCAGCGAGCUGAAAAAAAAAGACAUGCUGCUGCUAAAAGAGCUAAGGAUUCUUCUGUAGUCGACACAACAUUAUGUGAGUUACAUAGUUCUGAUGUUGAGCAUAACAUCAUGAGCCCUGGGAAGGUAGUAGUUUCUGAACAUACUUAAACCCAUGCUUCUUACCCUAUUAAUCUGAGAAACUAUCUUUUUCAACUGUAAUUAUCAACUAAGAAAUUCCACUCUUAUUAUCGACUACUUUUAAAUUAUUGUCAUCAUUCACCCAAAGCUAUUUGAAGAUUCUUUUUCAUCAGUUGACUGCACAUCCCUGACAAAUCCAUUUUUACUACUUUUGAUGUCUAUUAGUUACAUCGAUGACUUGUUUUCCUUUUUGUUACAAGAAACAUUCAAGUUUCAUCUUUACAUCUAGAUUAUAUUCCUGAACCGUAGUUUGGAGCUUGAGAGUGAGGUUUCUAAGUAAUCUCAGAGUUUUCCUUGCUAUCUUGCAAAACUCUGUCCUGGAGUCUGUGAACAUUUGAUUUCUCUAAAUGAAAUCGGAGAGGCAAGCUCUCUUUUAUCAAAAAAAAAAUCUUGCAAAACUCUUUGCUGACAAGCAUCUCAAAUCAUCUAGUGGUGAACCUGCUUCUCUUUAUUUAUAUAUUUGUACUCCAUCUUUUGUUGCGCUCAAAGGGUGUUGCAGGAUGGGAAAAAAAUAUACCCAUCACAUCCAAACCUGGAAUGUACCAGACUAGCGGUCUUUUUGGUGCAAUCUUUUAAUGGAAUAUUUGAACCGGCAUAAUCUAAUUUUAUUGCUCAACUUUGGCAUUUGUUGUAUUGCGCUAACAUCAUGUACUCCCUCCCUUCCAUAAUCUAGUGCGUAUAGGUUUUUUCAAAAGUCAAACAUUACAAACUUUGACCAUGUUUAUAGACAAGAAUAUGAACAUUUAAAAUACCAAAUGCAUAUCAUUGAAACAUCCUCAGUUAUAUUUUCAUGUUGUAUAUGUUUGGAAUUGUAUAUAUAAAUUGUUUUCUCUGUAAACUUGGUCAAAGUUUGCUUAGUUUGACUUUUCAGAAAAUCUAUACGCACUACAUUUUGGAACGGAGGGAGUAUAAGAUCUCUUUAAUACAUCUGCACUAGGUCUAGUUGUUUCCCUUAUAGUUCACUCAGUGUGCUUGAUGUGCGUUUGUACGUCCAGUGACUCAGUUUGACUUCUUUGAACAGAACUGUGUAGGCAAAUCUUCGACAGGUUGUUCCAGUCAAACUGCAAAUGAUUUUGAAGCUCCCAUCGAUCCUGAAGUGGAAGGUUUGUUGGUUCCUGUAAUAUGAUAGUGCUCUGCAACAAUAAUGUCAUUUCCCCUUUUUGGUUUGUAUUGCCAAGCUGAUGGCCAAUCAACUUGCUGAUGUUAUGUUGCACCCUUAGGUGAAAAUGGUAAAGCUGAUUCUGAUCCUGAAAAUCUUUCUGAUAUUGAUGAUGUGGAGGUAUUUUUUAUCCAUGAGAUGUUUCUGAUAUUGUUAGAGCCUGAGAUAUGACCGUUCAUUCUGAUUUCCUGUUAUUAUAUUUGGCAAAAUUGCAGGUUGACGGGUAUCUUCACAACGAGGAAGAAACACAGAACAAAAAGAUUAUCUGGGAGGAAAUGAACAAAGAAUACCUAGAGGUAGUUAUCAUAAUGGGGCAGUUUCUUGUCCUGACAACAGGGUGUAAAUAUAUGCUGACCUCUUUCACAGGAACAAGCUGCAAAGGAAGCUUUAGCGGCUGAAUUGGCAGCGAAAGGUAUAUCUGUUGGAGAGGGACAACCGAAGGUAUGAAAUGUUUCUAGUGUAGCCCAAGCGUCCUGUGUACACAUCUUUACUAUUUUCGGUACAGUUCAUGAUUAGCCAGGUGUCUUUUUAAAUGUAGAAACGGAAACGUAAGGAGGACAAGAACUCCACACCUGCUGAAACACCAGCAGAAGCAACAUGCAACAUGUUGAAACGGAAGGUACUGCACCUUUUGUACAGCAAUAGACAUCCAAAAUAUAUGUCGUGUGACUAUUAUAGUUACAUGUUAAACUUUGUGUGCAAACGAACUAGUAGCAUUUAACGUGUGACAUUGCUCCUUCUGCAGGGACUUGGGUCAAAAAUCAAUGUUGAAGCUGUUAGUGGAUUGUACAAUGUAUGUUUUCUCCUUUUAUGUUCACUGGAGCUUGAUAGAUUUCUGUACCCUAAAAUUCAUGCAAUGUUCUUUUGUAAAUGCUCCAACAUCAAAAUAAAUAUCUUGUUUACUUGUAUAUCUGCUGCCAUUCAAAUGCUUACUGAGAGUCUAUGUGCAGACUGAAGAUGAAGUUGGCAAAGCAAAUGGCAAAGAUGACAUACACUUUGACGAGGAAUAUGAACAGGAUAUCGGUUAUGGUGAAACAUUUGAUGCUAGUUACGACUAUGGUCACGAUGCUGAUUACAACUAUGAAGGCUAUGUUGAUGAGGGUGGUGGCGGAGUUUAUGAUGAUUAUCAUGACACUGAUUACUAGUAGCAGUUUUCUGCAGAGUGGCAACCUGACCAAGAUCUGUUCCGACUACCAAGGCGAACUGAAAAUCUUAUAUUCUACCUAUACCAAGCUAAGACUAAGUUAUAGUAUAUGCGUAAACUGACACCGAAUAGAUUUGUGGACCACAGUAAGACUGCUCUCUUAGAAAAGUUUCCGGUGCAAAGUUCUAAAAAAUGAGUAAUCAACAGUAAGACUGAAGAGACCGAUACCUUUAUCAAGGACCAUUUUCUUUGUAUUUUUUAAAACAUCAUCUGAAAUAACAGUUACAUCAUUUAUGAGCAUGUUUGCAAUUUCAUUCAAAGGGAAAAUUACAAACAAUGUAAUAGCAAUUGUUGAAAACUGUCACUGCCCCUCUUGCAGAUUGACCAUUCCUCAUGGGGUCAAUGACAUCCAAAUUGUCAUAGUUAAUAAAUUGAUUGUAACCCGCCCUUUGGGCAAGGGAUAAACCUAAU
rnacentral:lncRNA from 1 species